CUGUCCGGUACAGGGGGAUAAGCGGCGGAAACGCCGUCUAAUACCGCGUGACAACCCGAGGGGGCAUCCCCUUGGGUUCAAAGGAGAGAUCCGGUACCGGCUGGGCAUGCGGCGCAUUAGCUAGUUGGCGGGGCAACGGCCCACCAAGGCGACGAUGCGUAGGGGUUCUGAGAGGAAGGUCCCCCACACUGGAACUGAGACACGGUCCAGACUCCUACGGGAGGCAGCAGUGAGGAAUAUUGGUCAAUGGGCGCAAGCCUGAACCAGCCAAGUCGCGUGAGGGAAGACGGCCCUACGGGUUGUAAACCUCUUUUGCCGGGGAGCAAGCCUGAGCACGUGUGCCCAGGCGGAGAGUACCCGGAGAAAAAGCAUCGGCUAACUCCGUGCCAGCAGCCGCGGUAAUACGGAGGAUGCGAGCGUUAUCCGGAUUUAUUGGGUUUAAAGGGUGCGCAGGCGGGCUGUUAAGCCGGCGGUAAAAAUUCAGGGCUCAACCCUGUCGAGCCGUCGGAACUGGCAGUCUUGAGUGGGCGAGAAGUAUGCGGAAUGCGUGGUGUAGCGGUGAAAUGCAUAGAUAUCACGCAGAACGCCGAUUGCGAAGGCAGCAUACCGGCGCCCAACUGACGCUGAGGCACGAAAGCGUGGGGAUCGAACAGGAUUAGAUACCCUGGUAGUCCACGCAGUAAACGAUGA
rnacentral:rRNA from 1 species